ACAGUAACGAGAAGGUAAAAAAAAAUUUGUUUAUUUUCUCCUGCGUUUUCUUUGCCUGUUCUUUUCUUUUUUUUUUUUCCUUUUUUUGUAGGUCAAGAAAAGAAAGAUAGGUUCUUGUUCAACAAAUGAUCCACGCAUGAAGAAGACGGACUUAGGGUGUGAGGGGAUGGGUAUUCAUUGUCCAAAUAUCGGAGAGAUUACUCUCAGUGGUUCGACUAUCGGAGAGAUUACUCUCAAUAUGACUCGACUAUCGGAGAGAUUACUCUCAAAAUUGAUAGGUUUUAAGUUUAAGUUUCAAUGAUGGCAAUAUUAUCUUAUGUUAUAUUUUCAGGACAACCAAAAAGGAAAGAAUGAAGAUGAUUAUCAAGAUUGCUACUGGUUUCAAAAUAAAGGAAGAAGGAAGAAUCAGUUACUGCAUUAAUGAUCAAUUAAGAAGCAGAUUGACUCGUCCCUAAUCAAGGAUAGAAUGAAGAUUCAGUUAAAGCAUUAAUGAUCAAUCAAGAAGCAGAUUGACUCAAUCAGAGGAACUCAGAUUACCAAUCAUGGCCACUCCAGUCUCGAAGAACACACUUAUGAAUUAAUCAUUCCUUGAAUUCAGCCAUGACAAGGAAGGUCACAUUCGAAUCUGGGCAAAUCAAAGAGCAAGAUUCAAAGAAGCACCUCUUAGGCCAAAUCCCUUAAUUAAAGAUCUUGUGCCUCUAGUUUCAAAAAGGAUUCAACGACUCUUUUCUCCUGUAUAAAAAGGCUGCUCUCUCAAGAAGAAGAUCACGCAGCUACAAAAAGUGUAUUCCUAACCUGUCUACUUCUUAGUUCAAACACUGUAAUUCUGAGUUAUCAGUGUCUCAAAAGAUA
rnacentral:lncRNA from 1 species